AAUCAAUCUACCCAAUUCUAAGACAUUAUACAAUGGAACAGAACAGAGAACCCGAAACUAGAUCUACACCGAUACACUCAACUGCUUUCUCACAAAAGUACAAAAGCGAUUCAGUGGAGGGAAGACAGCAUGUGCCAUGAACGGUGUGGAGCAACAGGACGUCCAUAGGCAAAAAAGAUGAACCCCAAUAUAAGCCCCACACCUCAUACAAAAACUAUCUCAAAAUAGAUCAUGGGCUUCAAUGUAAAAUGUAAACUUACAAAACUUUUAGAAAAAAUGGAAGAAAAAUCUUCAGGAUCUAAGGCUAGGCAAAUCAUUCUUUGAUAUUCUAACAUCAAAGUACAAUCUAUAAGAGCAAUAACUGAUCAAUGGAACUUCACCAAAAUUAAAACCUUUUGCUCUGCAGAAGACCCCGUGAAGAAAAUGCAAAGACAAGCUACAGGAUGGGAGGAAGCAUCUGUCAGCCACAAAUCCAGCAAAGGAGAGUGUCGGGAAUAUAGAAAGAACUCUCCGAACUUAACAGGAAAAUAACAAACUGCCCAAGUAGCAAAUGGGCAAAAACAUGAAGAGACAUUUCACUAAAGAGGAUAUACAGUCGGCAAAUAAGCACAUGAAAAGAUGUUCAACGCCAUUAGCCAUUAGAGAAAUGCAAACAAAACCCACAGUGAACUAUCACGACUUGUCUAUCAAGGUGGCUAAAACAAAAUCCCAACACCAAAUGCUGGCAUGAGGGGAAACAGGGGGCAAUGUGAAAUGGUGCAGCCAGCUGGGUGUGGUGGCUCAGGCCCGUGGUCCCAGCACUCUGGGAGGCUGAGCCACCGCACCCGGCCCAUUGUGCUUAAUAUUUUAUUUGUGCUAAUUUUAUACAAAUAUAUGACCACAGAACUCAAUGCUAAGGCCUCUCCAGCCGGAUCUUUAUUGGCCUCAUGGUGAAUCUGCCUCUAUUGUCUGAAGUGGGGUGUGGAGCACAGUGUGCCCAGGCCAGGCCCAUCACAUCAUGUCCUUUGGGCAGCCAUCCCCUCUGCCCGUGGAGGACGCAAACUGGGGUGAAGAGAACGGAACGUGUGUAGAACCCGGUGCCAGCUAGGAUCAUUCACGACCGCUCGCUCAUGGAGGCCUCACAGCUACCCUCAUAGCAAGGAGGAGUUGUCGCCCCUGUUUCAGAGUUCAAGAAUGAGAGACCUUGCCCAAGAUCACAGUUCACAAAG
rnacentral:lncRNA from 10 species